rnacentral:tRNA from 4 species
AGGGACUUAGGAUAACACAAGUCCAAGGGCCUUCAAAGUCCUAAGCGAGGGUGAAAACCCCUCAGACCCUG